rnacentral:sRNA from 1 species
GCUGGGCGCGGUGGCACAUGCCUGUAAUCCCAGUGCUCAGGAGGCUGAGGCAGGAGGAUCACAGUAUGAGGCCAGCCUUAACAAUUUAGUGAGACCAUGCCUCAA